ACUGCUUACUUAACAAGGUUUCUUUAAGGGACAUGUCAUUCUAUUACUAGUGUAUAAAUAAGGGGAAAAAGCUUGAGAUAGUUGGACUCGUUUGGGGACUCUUUUGGACUCUCCCUCUGGAUACAUCUUGCGGUCCCCACCGGCAGACGGAAGAUUUGGCCACUGGAAGCCUGCUGCUGUGUCACUCGAAAGCCACACUCAGCUUUGAGUAAACUUACCAAGAGCUUUGAGUUGAAAGAACCCUGGGUAACACAUGGACGCAUGUCCUCUGGAAUGGUGGUUGAAGCAUCAAGGGACAAAUGAAUCUUUAGCACAUCUGGCACCUGUUCUCACUUUCAGGUGAUAUU